rnacentral:rRNA from 1 species
GUGAGGAAUAUUGGUCAAUGGGCGGGAGCCUGAACCAGCCAAGUCGCGUGAAGGAAGAAGGAUCUAUGGUUCGUAAACUUCUUUUGCAGGGGAAUAAAGUGCAGGACGUGUCCUGUUUUGUAUGUACCCUGAGAAUAAGGAUCGGCUAACUCCGUGCCAGCAGCCGCGGUAAUACGGAGGAUCCGAGCGUUAUCCGGAUUUAUUGGUUUUAAAGGGUGCGUAGGUGGUUUGAUAAGUCAGCGGUGAAAGUUUGCAGCUUAACUGUAAAAAUGCCGUUGAAACUGUCGGACUUGAGUGUAAAUGAGGUAGGCGGAAUGCGUGGUGUAGCGGUGAAAUGCAUAGAUAUCACGUAGAACUCCGAUUGCGAAGGCAGCUUACUAAGCUACAACUGACACUGAAGCACGAAAGCGUGGGGAUCAAACAGGAUUAGAUACCCUAGUAGUCC